rnacentral:pre_miRNA from 1 species
AGAGAGAGACAAACCUGGUUUCCGUGUUUAAUGUUUGACUAUCCGUCUUAUUUAAAAAAAUUAUAUAAAAAAUUAAAAAAACAAGUCACGUAUAAAGUAUUAAUCAUGUUUUAUCAUCUAACAACAAUAAAAUUAUGAAUUAUAAAAAAAAUUUAUAUAAGACAGACAGUCAAAGUUAGACACGGAAAUCUAAGGUUUGUCUUUUU